AAGUGACAUGAGUCCUUGAUGAUUGGCCGCCGGAUGAUCUGGUGAAGCCUUACCGCGGGGAUCUCCGGAUGCAGUUCGAGCAGGAGCAGGUUCUUGAGGCGCAUUACAAUACCGGCGAUGAUCCGUCCGAGGGUCCCCCCAGCUUUGUUCGGUGUGGCAUCGGUGUGAAUGCAACACCACAUAUGCACCGCGGACCUGAAGGACCAAGGACUCUUUGUAAUGCAUGUGGGAUUGCUCGGACGAAGAAACAACAAAGAUCAGACUGCAAUCUUCUGUGCCACCACCAAGUGUGUUCUCCAGAUUCAGCUCAUGAAGUGGAUAAGUGGCAAGGAACAUAGCAUUUGGUAGGGCAGAGACACGGAGCCACCAGAGACCAUGUGCAGCACCUCCAUGAAGAUGUUGAAAGCUAAGUGGUCGCAAUGAACUUUUGUGGUUCCACAUGGACUCUAUUAAAAUUCCAACAUCUACUUCCUUGUCUUUGGUAGAUUUUUAGAUGCUUUGGAGGUCUCUAUUAAAAUUCCACAUGAACUGCUCAUAGAACAAUUUGAAGAUGUCUAUCCAUUAGUAGGUCUCUUGAUGCUAUUGUUGGACCAUAUUUUCUUUCAUGCUAUCCAAGUCUAUCUAAUACCUUUCAAAAUACUUCCUUAAAUCCUUGCUAAUUGACAAUUAAUUGAAGUUAUCACAUGAACAUAUUUAUAAGCUGCUUGGAUAUAUAUAUAUAUAUAUAUAUAUAUAUUAGUCUUUGAUUUCUUGGAUCAUUUGUGUUCUGUUCUUCUUGUGAACCUUUUGCAUAACUGCUAUCGACAUGUGUAUCACUUCAAAGUUAUGUAAGAGUCAAGUAAAUAAAGAUUACAUAGAUUAACGUCAAAGAAGAUUGUGUGUGACAUCACAGAUUGAUAUACUAAGUUUAUUAUCUGUAGGGGAACAUUACAUCAGAAGAUGUACAAAGCCAUGAACAGGAGACGUGGUCGUGGUGGAUCAUGUCCUCUCACAAGUCUCCAGACCCUACAACUCUCAUCAUCAUCUCGCAUUAGACUGAAAUGGCUAAUGCGGAUAGCACUCGACAGCGGUCAUGCAUGGAUGGAUCAGCCGAUCAGCAGCAGGCGUAGAACUCCACCAGCUCGUCGAUGGACUCGGGCGGCGGCUCAGCGUUCUCAAGCAUCCAGAGGAGGUGCUCAAACAGCACGACCUCGCAAUCGACGACGACCUUUCCACCGUCUGGGUUAACGGAUCGCUGCGCGAGGACCUGGAAGAGAGGGUGGCCGACGAGGUCGGAGCUGAUUAGGUAUCGCCGGCGGGACUUACCGACGUAGACAGGGUGGAGGUCGGUCGGAGAGUUCUCGUCGUCGUGGGACCGCACCGCCGCAGAGGGGCUGCCUGCGUGGAGGCGGCUGCGGGAAUGCCAUCUCUUCAGCAUGCAUUUGAGCUUGCCGAGCUUCCCUGCCAUUUGCUUGACAUGCAUGCAAUAUAUAUAGAGUUGUCUGAAUACGAGAAAGAGCGAGGAAGGAGAGAGGAAGACUCCUCCCUGUAUAUAUAGAGAUCUUAGAGAUGAAUGGGGCUAAGUCUUCAUGUGCACCCACAUCAGAGUUGUGGUUGCAUGCACAUAUCCUUCCAAAAUGCUUCACCUUUCACAAGAUGGACCAGCUUGAUCAAGUAAAUGGAAUUAUUCCAUCUGUUGGGAGAUGUAACUAUUGUCCCUAACAUUCUAUUUUCUCUGACUGAUGUGUAUGGGCCAUAUUUUGUUUCUUCCUUUAUAAUACUGAUAAAAUGUGAUUUUGUCUUGUUUGUGCAA